UACAGAGGUCCCAAGCGUUGUUCGGAUUCACUGGGCGUAAAGGGUGCGUAGGCGGUCGGGUAAGUCUGAUGUGAAAUCUCACAGCUUAACUGUGAAACUGCAUUGGAUACUAUCCGGCUAGAGGAAUGGAGGGGAGACUGGAAUACUUGGUGUAGCAGUGAAAUGCGUAGAUAUCAAGUGGAACACCAGUGGCGAAGGCGAGUCUCUGGGCAGUAACUGACGCUGAGGAGCGAAAGCGUGGGGAGCGAACAGG
rnacentral:rRNA from 1 species